AGAGGAGCUUGAAAAUGAUCAGAAUUGUGAAGGCGCCGCAUCUUCUUGCGCCUCUUAAUGCAUCCGUCGUGUCAGCAGCACUAUUGUACUGAAGCGGUAUACAGUACCGGUGCGCGGUUCUCUUUUCACCUGUUUAACUGUGUUACAGGGAGCGGUGCGUGUCCACUCUUCCUCUAUGUGUCGCUGGCGGCAGCUUCAUUUCUUCUGAUUACUUUGUUAAUUACACUGGUAAUAUGCUAUCGAAGACAGAAUAAACCAGAUGCGUAUUUGGCAAAUGAACCAUCGAUGUAUUCCGAGAUUCGCGUUACAGGGAGGGCGCCAGACAAACAAAUAGCAGGGCAACGUGAAAACACCGGUUCUGGAGGAAGGCACGCCAGACCAAAGAUAAGAGCAGAGCAGGUCCGUGAUGACGUGCAGUACGCCAGUCUGCAGUUCGAGGCGCGCGGGCGACAGAAAUGAAGACCGGGACUGGACAGAUUAUUAGAAACAUCUGUGCCAUGUAGCACACACUUCUGUGUAACUGCACUGUCCCUCGUAGCACUGAAUACUUUGAUAUGCAAAAAGCAGCUCUGCUUUGCAUUAUAGAUGAAUGUAUUCAUUACAUAUGUUUAAUAAUAU